rnacentral:rRNA from 1 species
UCGAGAAUUUUUCUCAAUGGGCGAAAGCCUGAAGGAGCGACGCCGCGUGGGGGAUGAAUGGCUUCGGCCCGUAAACCCCUGUCAUUUGCGAACAAACCUUUUCACUUAACACGUGAAAAGCUGAUUGUAGCGAAAGAGGAAGGGACGGCUAACUCUGUGCCAGCAGCCGCGGUAAUACAGAGGUCCCAAGCGUUGUUCGGAUUCACUGGGCGUAAAGGGUGCGUAGGUGGUGAGGUAAGUCUGAUGUGAAAGCUCGGAGCUCAACUCCGAAAUGGCAUUGGAAACUACCUUGCUCGAGGAUUGGAGGGGGGACUGGAAUACUUGGUGUAGCAGUGAAAUGCGUAGAUAUCAAGUGGAACACCAGUGGCGAAGGCGAGUCCCUGGACAAUUCCUGACACUGAGGCACGAAAGCUAGGGGAGCAAACGGGAUUAGAUACCCCCGUAGUCC